rnacentral:rRNA from 1 species
ACUCCUACGGAAGGCAGCAGUAAGGAAUAUUGGACAAUGCCCGCAAGGUGAUCCAGCCAUGCCGCGUGCAGGAAGACGGCCCUAUGGGUUGUAAACUGCUUUUGUACCGGAGAAAACCUCCCCUCGUGAGGGGAGCUGAUAGUAUGGUAAGAAUAAGCAUCGGCUAACUUCGUGCCAGCAGCCGCGGUAAU